rnacentral:pre_miRNA from 1 species
CCAUACUUCCUUACUUCUCAUAUUGCUUUUAAAACUUAUGGAAUGUAAAGAAGUAUGGAG